UUUAAAAAUAAAGAGCAAUUCACUCAAACGAUUCAGAAAUAUAUUGCAGUCGUCAAAGAAAUCGCCAUAUCAGCGGAAUGACGAAAUAAACAAAAAUUUCCGAACACAAUUUUUUAGAACAACUAUUUUACUGUAUAAAAAUGAUAUUUUCAUAAAUAUAACUUAAAACCAGCAGGAGCACAACUCAAAAGCGUAACGGUACCGCGAUUUAAGAUUUUCCUGAAUAAUUCUUACAUUAUUUUAUUGUUUGUUAAUUUUACAACUUUAUCAUAUUUUGCAUGCACUGGAGAACAUUUGGUGAAAAUUUGAUGAAAAUCGGACUGAUAUUGAGCACGCAGUAGCGAUUUUCCGCAAAACACCAAAAAGGGUGUCCUGUAACCUUAAUUAUGAUAAAGUGAUGAAGUGAAAAACUCUGGACCGUAGCGAAACAUAGGCGUACCGGGCGGGGGGGCCGGGGGCGGUAGCCCCCCCCCAGUUUUUUGGGCAGUCGGGCAAUAUUCGAUAAACAGUCGGGCAAUUUUGGUUUGUUAUAAAAAUAAAUGGGACAAAUUCUGUCAUUUUUGUCGGAAAUUCAGAAAAUUUUGUGGUCAAUUUUGUGGUGUUUGUAAAAUUUGUGUGAUUUUCCGAAAAAUUUUGGUACGUCCGGAAAAUUUUUUGACCCCUAAAAUGGUACACUGACCGAAAUUUUUUGGCGACGGGGGGGGGUGGUCGCCAGAAAAAUUUUUCCGGAAAAAAUUU